UUGAACGCUGGCGGCAGGCCUAACACAUGCAAGUCGCGCGGAUGAAGGGAGCUUGCUCCUGGAUUCAGCGGCGGACGGGUGAGUAAUGCCUAGGAAUCUGCCUGGUAGUGGGGGAUAACGUCCGGAAACGGGCGCUAAUACCGCAUACGUCCUGAGGGAGAAAGUGGGGGAUCUUCGGACCUCACGCUAUCAGAUGAGCCUAGGUCGGAUUAGCUAGUUGGUGGGGUAAAGGCCUACCAAGGCGACGAUCCGUAACUGGUCUGAGAGGAUGAUCAGUCACACUGGAACUGAGACACGGUCCAGACUCCUACGGGAGGCAGCAGUGGGGAAUAUUGGACAAUGGGCGAAAGCCUGAUCCAGCCAUGCCGCGUGUGUGAAGAAGGUCUUCGGAUUGUAAAGCACUUUAAGUUGGGGGGAAGGGCAGUAAGUUAAUACCUUGCUGUUUUGACGUUACCAACAGAAUAAGCACCGGCUAACUUCGUG
rnacentral:rRNA from 1 species